UUCAGUUUGCACUAACCUGCGCUGCAACUCUUAUAUCAGAAUUAAUAUUCAGAGGUAGAGAGGGCGUUCCUCUCUCCCCCUCCCCCCCUUCAUACUUCGUCUCUCUGCGUCCUGAGAGCUCGGAGUAGAGAAGCAAGCUAGAGAUGAAGACCUCGCCAACCCCCCUGGAAAGGUCGUACUCGUUUAUUUGUCAUUUUAUUGUGAAAUAAAUGAUUGUACAAAUUUA